rnacentral:rRNA from 1 species
GAUUCUGGCUCAGGAUGAACGCAGCGACAGGCCUAACACAUGCAAGCGAGGGGCAGCACAAGGAGUAAUCUGAGGUGGCGACCGGCGCACGGGUGAGUAACACGUAUGCAACCUGCCUUUAAGCGGGGGAUAACCCGGAGAAAUCCGGACUAAUACCGCAUAAUGCCUAUUUACUGCAUGGUAAAUAGUUUAAACAUUUAUGGCUUACAGAUGGGCAUGCGUAUGAUUAGCUGGUUGGUGAGGUAACGGCUCACCAAGGCAACGAUCAUUAGGGGUUCUGAGAGAAAGGUCCCCACACUGGUACUGAGACACGGACCAGACUCCUACGGGAGGCAGCAGUGAGGAAUAUUGGUCAAUGGGCGAGAGCCUGAACCAGCCAAGUCGCGUGAAGGAAAGAAGGUUCUAUGGAUUGUAAACUUCUUUUGCAUGGGAAUAAAGUGAGCUACGUGUAGUUUAUUGUAUGUACUGUGCGAAUAAGGAUCGGCUAACUCCGUGCCAGCCGCCGC